UAUUGAAAGAAAAACCCAAUAAAAUAUUUGUGACUGAUGAAGAUGCUGUAUUUUUCUCUGUGGAAGGGUCAAGUCCCCCAGCCAUUCCUUCUGCUAAGAGGAACGUAGACAAUCUCUGGGAUGAUUAUAUAAUAAAACUUUAUGUUUAUCAGAAUAGUGAUGGAGGAUGAGAAGAGGGCAGAAAUGUGGCAAGCAUGGGAAUUAAAAGGUUAACAACAGUGGUAUAAUGGCUGGAGUGGAUUCCAGUCUUCAGCACUGUCUAACUAUCCUGUCAAUUUUAAGAAAAAGUUUGAAAGUAAGUUUUGGGUUUGAAGCUUCAAGAUGGCUGAUGAGAGACAUCUAUCACUCAUCUCCUCUGCAAAGGACCAAAACAGCAAGUAGAUAAUUACAUUCAAAUAGAGCUUCUAAGAGAGAACACUGGAAUUCAGUAGGGAAGUGACAGGGAACCUCUGAGGCAUUGAACAACGGGGAAGCCAAGAGGCCAGCCAGGCCAGGGCUGGCUCAGAAGGAGGAGGAAGUCACACUGUGGGGAAGAGUUAAGCAAGAGAUCUCUAGUAGUCCAUGUUUCCACCACGGACUCCCACAGUUCUAGCCACAGGAGUUCCCUGAAGCCCAUGCAGACCUUGUGACUAGUUUAGGGAUCUGCCUGGAAGGCAUGUGAUGACAUUGUGCCAGAGGGAGUUCACACUGGGUCCCACAUAUCCCCAAGCAGCUGUAGACUGGUGCCAUUUUGAGAGGUCAGCCACCAGCAGACUACAUCCUGCUAUGGGGCUGAACAGCCCAUGAAUCUUUACAUACCUAGAAUCCUGCUGACAUCCCCCCACGUCCACUCACAGGGCUUCAGUGUCGUGAUGUUGGCUGAACCUAGCGGUGUGGCCAGGUUUCCAGCACUCUAGCCAAUGCAAUCUCUUCCACCCUGGGGAUAGUCAAUUCAGUGUACCAGAGGAUUGCCCCCAGGACAAAGGGAGCCAAAGGAUGCACUCCCCAGAGCCUGAGAGCCAUCUGUACAGGGCCAAUGCCACAGAUAGCAACCUUGCUUUCUUCCAGUACCGGGCUGUUUUGCACCUAUACAUGCCUUCAGGGGACCUGGGCAGUGGCCUGGCCAGCCAGUGUCCAGGCAUACUGUCUAGGAGCCUAGUGAUUUGACCUACCUCACUCACUGAAGCCAGUGCCAUGCGACCAUCCAGGAGCCUGAGGACUAGCCUGCCCCAGUUACUACCAGCACUGCUUGUUUGUACUGUCCAGGGGCCUGGGGAUAGGCCUGCCCUGCCUGCUGGCUGCCAGCACCCACAUAUGCCUCCCAGGAACCAGCCACUCAGCCUGCCACUGCUACCACUGGUGUCCAUGUGUGCCACUUGGAUGCCCAUGGGUUGGCCCACUGCCACUACUGCCACUGCCAAUGACACAGACACAGUGUUGCCACUGUCAUCACCCAAACAUGUCACCUGGAAGCCUAAGGACCACGAUACCUAACAUGCUACUACCACCACAGGUGCCUGCGGAACAGCCCACCCUGCAUCCCUAUCCCCAGCAAAGCUUCUCCAUAGCCUCCACUAACAGCUGCAAUCUAAGCCACUGAGGAACUCAAAACAGAAACCACUGAUGCUAAUUACAGCCAAAGAAAUCACAGAGACUACACUACUCUGCCCACCCAGAAUCAAAGCUAAAGCAUUCUACCUACCAACACUAUUUAUAAAUUUAUCAGAAAAAAGUCUUUCCUAUGAAAGCCAGAGCAGAUGUCAACAUGAGGAAAUAAGAAACAUGAAAAACCAAGGAAACAUGACAACUCCAAAGGAACACAAUAAUUCUCUAGUAAUAGAUCCCAAAGAAAAUGCAAUCUAUAAAAUCCCAGGGAAAGAAUGUAGAAUGAUGAUACUUAAGAAACUCAGUGAGAGGCUUUCUGGGGGACUGGAGUCUGAGGCCGCGAGUCACUGCUUGAUCCUGGAUACAGAGGGAAGUUUCUGCACUUUUCCUGUGGAAGGAGCAAAUAUUCAGGAGCUUCUGUAUAAAAUUUGGUCCUAAUGGCAGGUAAAGAAAUUAAUGAAGACUAUCCAGUAGAAAUUCAUAAGUAUUUAUCAACAUUUGAGAAUUCCAUUGGCGCUGUGGAUGAGAUGCUGAAGACUAUGAUGUCUGUUUCUAGAAAUGAGUUGUUGCAGAAGUUGGACCCACUUGAACAAGCGAAAGUGGAUUUAGUUUCUGCCUACACAUUAAAUUCAAUGUUUUGGGUUUACUUAGCAACUCAAGGAGUUAAUCCUAAGGAACAUCCAGUAAAGCAGGAAUUGGAAAGAAUCAGAGUAUACAUGAACAGAGUCAAGGAAAUAACAGAUAAGAAAAAGGCUGGCAAGCUCGACAAAGGUGCAGCUGCACGAUUUGUAAAAAAUGCCCUCUGGGAACCAAAACCGAAAAAUGCAUUGAAAGUUGCCAAUAAAGGAAAAAGUAAAAACUAACUUUUUGGUUUUGAUGUACAUAUAUUCAAAAAGUACAUCUUCAUUUUUUGGAACUAUGCAUCAAAAAAAAAAAGUACAUCUUCUUACUGCUUUCACAAGAUAGAGGAUUAUGUGGCAAUGCAGGGUUUAAAUGUAUUCCUUAUCAAAUUCAUGUGUAAAUUUAUACUUUAAAUUUAUAACGCUAAAUACUGCCCCCCCAAGAUUGUUAUCUUUAUUGAUUUUCUUAUAGAGCACUAUGAGGUUUUUAACAUCGUGAUGUAUUUUAUAUUUAUAGUUUAUCAUAUCUUUUGACAAGACUCUUAUUUCCUUAUGUAAGUCAAUCUUGCAAGUACAUUUUAUAAGCAACUGUGAAAUUUAAGUUAAAUAUUCUUUGUAAACAUUUGUACUAUUUUAAAUGAAUAAUGACCUUAUGAAGUAUGCUAUCUGUAGGCUGAGGUUAUAAGUACAUCUGUUUUUACUGUAUGAUAUUAAGAAUGAAAUGACUUCAGUGUCCAUUUUUUUCCCUGUGUAGUUACUUCAUGUUUUCAUGAUUUUAGGAAUUGUUGCUUUUUUGAUAUUUGAAGUAUGAAAUUAAAACUUUACGGCUGUACUUUAAUUCUUGGCAUGUUGCCUCUGUGUCCCAUUUAAAAUAAAAUAUAUUCUCAUUAACUUUAGAUGGGAAAUAAGGUUGUAUGUUGGUGGAUAAAUUUUGGCAUAAUGGUUAUACCCUCUCAAUAAAGGCUGUAAAUGUUGUGUAAAAAAAAAAAAAAAAAAAAACUCAGUGAGAUACAAGGGAGUACAGA